rnacentral:rRNA from 1 species
GAUGAACGCUAGCGGCAGGCUUAACACAUGCAAGUCGAGGGGUAUUUAUCUUCGGAUAGAGAGACCGGCGCACGGGUGCGUAACGCGUAUGCAAUCUACCUUUUACAGAGGGAUAGCCCAGAGAAAUUUGGAUUAAUACCUCAUAGUAUAUAGACUCGGCAUCGAGAUUAUAUUAAAGUCACAACGGUAAAAGAUGAGCAUGCGUCCCAUUAGCUAGUUGGUAAGGUAACGGCUUACCAAGGCUACGAUGGGUAGGGGUCCUGAGAGGGAGAUCCCACACACUGGUACUGAGACACGGACCAGACUCCUACGGGAGGCAGCAGUGAGGAAUAUUGGACAGUGGGCGCAAGCCUGACCCAGCCAUGCCGCGUGCAGGAUGACGGUCCUAUGGAUUGUAAACUGCUUUUAUACGAGAAGAACCGCUGCUACGUGUAGCAGCUUGACGGUAUCGUAAGAAUAAGGAUCGGCUAACUCCGUG